GUCCACGCCCUAAAACGAUGCGAGCUGGAUGUCGGGGGACUUGUCCCUCGGUGUCGAAGCUAACGUGAUAAGCUCGCCGCCUGGGGAGUACGGCCGCAAGGUUAAAACUCAAAGGAAUUGACGGGGGCCCGCACAAGCGGUGGAGCAUGUGGUUUAAUUCGACGCAACGCGCAGAACCUUACCAGCCCUUGACAUGGCGUCUAAAUCCCGGUGCGAGCCGGGGCUCCCGCAAGGGGGGCGUCACAGGUGCUGCAUGGCUGUCGU
rnacentral:rRNA from 1 species